GUCCGAUUAGCUAGUUGGUGGGGUAAUGGCCUACCAAGGCUGCGAUCGGUAGCUGGUCUGAGAGGAUGAUCAGCAACACUGGGACUGAGACACGGCCCAGACUCCUACGGGAGGCAGCAGUGGGGAAUAUUGGACAAUGGGCGCAAGCCUGAUCCAGCAAUGCCGCGUGGGUGAAGAAGGUCUUCGGAUUGUAAAGCCCUUUCGGCGGGGACGAUGAUGACGGUACCCGCAGAAGAAGCCCCGGCUAACUUCGUGCCAGCAGCCGCGGUAAUACGAAGGGGGCUAGCGUUGCUCGCAAUGACUGGGCGUAAAGGGCGCGUAGGCGGUUUGGACAGUUGGGCGUGAAAUUCCUGGGCUUAACCUGGGGGCUGCGCUCAAUACAUCUAGACUUGAGUGAGGAAGAGGGUCGUGGAAUUCCCAGUGUAGAGGUGAAAUUCGUAGAUAUUGGGAAGAACACCGGUGGCGAAGGCGGCGACCUGGUCCUUUACUGACGCUGAGGCGCGAAAGCGUGGGGAGCA
rnacentral:rRNA from 1 species